CUCCUCUAGACCUGGCAAAGACCUAGAAAGGGAAAGAGAUUCUAAAGUUGCAAAAUUUUUCCCCAUAAAAGGCUUUGCAGGGCCAUUUCAACAUAUGUCAGAUAAAUAUAUUUUGAAGUAAAGUGUGUUAAUUUCUUUCAGGGUCUGCUGUUGUGUGAUGCUAUACUAGAGUCAAGUUGGAAUUUGGCAUCUUAGUGCCAAAGGGUCUGUUUCAUCCAUAUAAGGAUGUCUAUUUUAAUGUUAAUGCUGCAGGACAAGCAGUACCUGAGAGCACUGAGGAGGACCUGGACCCAGUAACUUCUCUAAAUCUAGUGUGGGGGAAGAUGCGCCCCUGCCAUGGAGCCAUGUUCUAUGGCAGGCAACCACUGGUCAAUAAAAAAAUAAUCAGAUGAUGUCAAGUGUAUAUCUAAUUGACAUUAAAAUACACAUUUGAAAAUUUGGAAAUCUUUUUUUAAAUAAAAUUUUUAAAUUUCAUUUUUAAUAUA
rnacentral:lncRNA from 1 species